rnacentral:rRNA from 1 species
GAAGUUGGAGUCGCUAGUAAUCGCAGAUCAGCAACGCUGCGGUGAAUACGUUCCCGGGCCUUGUACACACCGCCCGUCACGUCAUGAAAGUCGGAAACACCCGAAGCCGGUGGCCUAACCCUUGUGGAGGGAGCCGUCGAAGGUGGGAUUGGCGAUUGGGACGAAGUCGUAACAAGGUAGCCGUACCGGAAGGUGCGGCUGGAUCACCUCCUUU